rnacentral:rRNA from 1 species
GAUGAACGCUGGCGGCAUGCCUAAGACAUGCAAGUCGAACGAGAUGGCCCUUUGAAGCGGAGUGCUUGCACAAAGUGGAAAAGGAUUACCAUCUAGUGGCAGACGGGUGAGUAACACGUGGGUAACCUACCUUUAUGAUGGGGAUAACAGUUGGAAACGACUGCUAAUACCGAAUAAGAUGUAAUUGUUAAGAUUACAUUGAAAGGAGCCUUUAAAGCUUCGCAUAAAGAUGGGCCUGCGGCGUAUUAACUAGUUGGUGGGUAAUGGCCUACCAAGGUAACGAUGCGUAGCCGAACUGAGAGGUUGAACGGCCACACUGGGACUGAGACACGGCCCAGACUCCUACGGGAGACAGCAGUUAGGAAUAUUCGUCAAUGGGGGAAACCCGUCGAACGAGCAAUGCCGCGUGAGUGAAGAAAGGUCCUAUGGAUUGUAAAAACUACUGUUGUAUAGGAAGAAAAA